GAUGAACGCUGGCGGCGUGCUUAACACAUGCAAGUCGAGCGAAGCACUUAUGAUGAUCCUUCGGGUAAUUCAUUUGUGACUGAGCGGCGGACGGGUGAGUAACGCGUGAGUAACCUGCCUCAUACAGGGGAAUAACAGUUAGAAAUGACUGCUAAUGCCGCAUAAGCGCACAGGACCACAUGGUCUGGUGUGAAAAACUCCGGUGGUAUGAGAUGGACUCGCGUCUGAUUAGCUAGUUGGUGAGGUAACGGCCCACCAAGGCGACGAUCAGUAGCCGGCCUGAGAGGGUGAACGGCCACAUUGGGACUGAGACACGGCCCAAACUCCUACGGGAGGCAGCAGUGGGGAAUAUUGCACAAUGGGGGAAACCCUGAUGCAGCGACGCCGCGUGAGUGAAGAAGUAUUUCGGUAUGUAAAGCUCUAUCAGCAGGGAAGAAAAUGACGGUACCUGACUAGGAAGC
rnacentral:rRNA from 1 species